AAGCAUGUUUGAGUACGAUGUUGUAAAAACUAACACCUUUUAAACGGGCAGUUCUAAUAUAUUGCGCCGUCAUUACCUCCGCCAUUGACGCACGUGUCAUGCGGGCGAUGUAGCCCAUACCAUAGAACGCCAUAGUCAUGACGGGCAAGCUGAAAUUAGCAAUGG
rnacentral:ncRNA from 1 species